AUUGAACGCUGGCGGCAUGCCUUACACAUGCAAGUCGAACGGUAACGGGCCUUCGGGUGCCGACGAGUGGCGAACGGGUGAGUAAUGUAUCGGAACGUACCUUUCAGUGGGGGAUAACGUAGCGAAAGUUACGCUAAUACCGCAUAUUCUGUGAGCAGGAAAGCAGGGGAUCGCAAGACCUUGCGCUGAUUGAGCGGCCGAUAUCAGAUUAGCUAGUUGGUGAGGUAAAGGCUCACCAAGGCGACGAUCUGUAGCGGGUCUGAGAGGAUGAUCCGGCACACUGGAACUGAGACACGGUCCAGACUGCUACGGGAGGCAGCAGUGGGGAAUUUUGGACAAUGGGGGCAACCCUGAUCCGGCCAUGCCGCGUGAGUGAAGAAGGCCUUCGGGUUGUAAAGCUCUUUCGGCCGGGAAGAAAUCGUAUCAGCUAAUACCUGGUGCGGAUGACGGUACCGGCAUAAGAAGCACCGGCUAACUACGUGCCAGCCGCCGCCGUAACAC
rnacentral:rRNA from 1 species